rnacentral:rRNA from 1 species
AUUGAACGCUGGCGGCAGGCCUAACACAUGCAAGUCGAGCGAGCGGCGGACGGGUGAGUAAUGUCUGGAAACUGCUUGAUGGCGGGGGAUUACUACUGGAAACGGGAGCUAAUACCGCAUACUCUCCGAUGUUCCCGACUGGGUUUAGCUAGUAGGUGGGGUACCGGCUCACCGAGGCGACGCACCCUAGCGGGUCUGAGAGGAUGACCAGCCACACUGGAACUGAGACACGGUCCAGACUCCUACGGGAGGCAGCAGUGGGGAAUAUUGCACAAUGGGCGCAAGCCUGAUGCAGCCAUGCCGCGUGUGUGAAGAAGGCCUUCGGGUUGUAAAGCACUUUCAGCGGGGAGGCGUUACCCGCAGAAGAAGCACCGGCUAACUCCGUGCCAGCAGCCGCGGUAAUUC